rnacentral:rRNA from 1 species
CCCUUAGAUGUUCUGGGCUGCACGCGCGCUACACUGAUGCGUUCAACGAGUUUAUGACCUUGCCCGAUAGGGUUGGGUAAUCUUUUUAAAUCGCAUCGUGAUGGGGAUAGAUUAUUGCAAUUAUUAAUCUUCAACGAGGAAUUCCUAGUAAGCGCGAGUCAUCAGCUCGUGCUGAUUACGUCCCUGCCCUUUGUACACACCGCCCGUCGCUCCUACCGAUUGAAUGGUCCGGUGAAAUCUCGGGACGGCGGCUUGGUCGCUUGCGUCCGACUGCUGAAACUUGAUUAAACCAUAUCAUUUAGAGGAAGGUGAANUCGUANCA